rnacentral:tRNA from 1 species
AAUAAGAUGGCAGAAAUAUUAUGCACUGACUUUAAGCGUCAGCUAUAGGUUUAUCCCUUCUUAUUU